rnacentral:rRNA from 1 species
GAUGAACGCUGGCGGCGUGCUUAACACAUGCAAGUCGAACGAAACACCUUAUUUGAUUUUCUUCGGAACUGAAGAUUUGGUGAUUGAGUGGCGGACGGGUGAGUAACGCGUGGGUAACCUGCCCUGUACAGGGGGAUAACAGUCAGAAAUGACUGCUAAUACCGCAUAAGACCACAGCACCGCAUGGUGCAGGGGUAAAAACUCCGGUGGUACAGGAUGGACCCGCGUCUGAUUAGCUGGUUGGUGAGGUAACGGCUCACCAAGGCGACGAUCAGUAGCCGGCUUGAGAGAGUGAACGGCCACAUUGGGACUGAGACACGGCCCAAACUCCUACGGGAGGCAGCAGUGGGGAAUAUUGCACAAUGGGGGAAACCCUGAUGCAGCGACGCCGCGUGAGUGAAGAAGUAUCUCGGUAUGUAAAGCUCUAUCAGCAGGGA